rnacentral:rRNA from 1 species
CACGUAGGGUGCGAGCGUUGUCCGGACUUAUUGGGCGUAAAGAGCUCGUAGGCGGUUUGGCGCGUCGGCCGUGAAAACCUGCAGCUUAACUGUGGGCUUGCGGUCGAUACGGGCAUCACUGGAGUUCGGCAGGGGAGACUGGAAUUCCUGGUGUAGCGGUGAAAUGCGCAGAUAUCAGGAGGAACACCGGUGGCGAAGGCGGGUCUCUGGGCCGAUACUGACGCUGAGGAGCGAAAGCGUGGGGAGCGAACAGG